GCAAAAAAAUAUUCUCUCUAAAUUCUACCCUCAUCGGUUCUUAAAGUUAUGAGCUAUCCCUCCUCCCGAACUCAUCGUUCAAUUUUGGGCAUUAGAUUGUCAAGGAAGAUGUUACCUAUCUCGCUUCAGCACUUCAACGAAGUAACAAUGCCACCAUAAUCUUAUUAGAGUCUGUCUCAGGUAGGGUUUUUGACAUCUUCUGCCAAAUUUUAAGAAAAAUCUGAAAUUUUUGCUACUUUGGAGCUGAACGCGCCUGAACCACACACUGAAGUCGGGUCGGACCCGAAUCCCGAAAUGGUGUCCGAUUCUGUGCAGAAACUUGACGGAACAAUUGAGGAAGAUGCUGCUAAUGUUGAUGGGUCUGUACCUAAACGGCCUCAUUUGGAGGAAAAAGCUAAUGGAUCGGGUUGAGUGUAUAUUUUACCUUUCACAACAGUAAUGAGCAUCUUCCUAUGGCAGUACACCUGGAAAUCCGCAUAAUCCAAAAAGGUACACACGUGGUUCUUCCUCCGAUUCAGCUGUAAUUGUCGAUUCUGGAUUGUGCUCAGCAGCAUUGCGAACAAAUGGUGGAGGUUGUAUGACAUAUCAGGCGUAGUGAAUUAGUAAUUUGUUUUAAAAUGGUUAUAGAUUUUCAAGAUUCAUUCAUUUGAAGUCCAGGUUCAGUAGGAAUUCAUGCUUCUCUUUGCGGGGUUGUGGGCUUGAAAACAACAUUUGGACGGACAGAUAUGAUAGGGUUAGUUCAUGAAUGGCAGGUCAAUGUGCAUCUAUACCUUAAUGCUUAUGAAUUAUAUUGUUUCCUUCCAGAAAACUUUUCGUCUGCUGUUAAAGUUAUGAUCUUCUGCCUCAUACAACUUGCCUCUGUGCUCUUGCCUAAAAAUUGUUCUUUUCUUUAGUUAUCCAUAUUUUCUGGAUUCUAAAAGUCUCUAUGUUUAACAUGUACUCUUCAAUAUCUGUAAAGGGCAUUUUUUCAUUUUUCUAGUGGAUAGGUGAAACAAUCAUUAUAAACCUAAAACUAUGUGUAAGGCAUGAUGAAAUCAAGUAUAUUUUUUCUUGGCCAUAGUUAAACUCAAAAACAUUAUUUCCCAGGCACUUCAUGGUAUGAGAAAUAAGGUAGCUUUGUAGAGAAGUGAAGCCUUUACUGCAGUAGUUUAUAACUCUAUUCUGCACAUUGCUUAGAAAUGUAAUCAAAUAAGAGCCCCAUACGCUUUCUACACACACACUAUUUACAUAAUCCAUACCGUGAUACGACAACGAAGGAGACACCGAGUACAUGCACUACUUACAUCUUGCAGAUUCGUAAAUAAUUCAAAUUUAAGAUAUCGGUAAAAAAAGAAAGGUUUUUGGCUUUCUAUUCUUUCAUUACAGAAUCCAAAAACAAGAAAAUACCAAUGUACUUCAUGUCUCGUGAAUGUUGUUUGAGUGCGCACAGAAGCAAACUAAACUUUUUUUUAUAUUCAUGAACAUGGAAAGUGAUAUUUCAUCUUAUCAUGUCCAAGAAGCUAGAUGCUAAAACAAAUAAUAUUAAGUUCAUUUUAUUUUGUGAUAUGUUUCAUUUUUACCAUUGUCAAUGAUAUUAGAAUGAACUCCCAUACACUGUUGCAAGGGUAGAUAUGUGUAUAAUUUUGUCCAUCUCUGUUCUUUUCUCAGGUCACUGUGGGAAGCAGGAACUGUUAUCGGACCCAUCACAGCUACAGUUGAGGAUGCCAUACUUGUGUAUGCAGCAAUCUCGGGACAUCUCCAGCUGAUCGAAUUCGGCUGAAUCCUGAUAUGUAUGAUAAGGCUGACAAACUACUUUAUUCAUCAUUAAACGAGUGGGGUUUGUUAUUAGCAGCAUCAGAUAAUCUUAAUCAUGUUUGGGCUCAAACUCUUGUAGAUCCAUUUUUACGGCGGCUCAUUUUAAGGUAGGUUGCCACUGUUCGCCAACAUUUUCUUCAGUACUCAUCUUAGUCAUCUAGUGUCAAGCCUUGAAGUAGGGCCUCGAGUGGCUGAAUAUGGAAGUAGUUGAUUUGACAUUGAGCACCUAGCAAAAUCUGAUACUUCGCUGGUAUAAAUUGUUGAUUCACUCGUACAUUUUUUUAUUCCAAGAUGUUGGUUCGGAAUGUCAGUUAAAUUGGUAUUUAUUUUUAUUUUCUCAAGGCUCAUGGGUGUGAGGGUGGAUAUGAUGUUGGUUCGGCAUGUCAAUUAAAUUGGUCUCUAUUUGUAUUUUCUCAAGGCUUAUGGGCGUGAGGGUGGAUGUGGAGGUUGAGCAUGAAUUCUUUUUUGAGGAAAUUUCUUGAGAAUGGUAAAAAAAAAUCAUAAAUGUGUAGCACCAAAGGUUGUGCUAAAACCAUAUGUACAAUUUAAAGGGAACAUAAAGUUAGCUUUCUUCUACUUCCUAAUACAGGAGUUCUAUAAUAUCCGAGGCAUAUAAUUUAACUCUUGUACAAGCCUUUUCGUCUUCAAAAGACCUCUGUAAUGAUUGUUUCUCUGUCUCACUGAUGCGACAUCCAACAAAAUGGAACUUAGGUCUCCAUUCCUCUGUUUCAUUGUAGAGUUCCUGGUAGAAUGAUAUUAUUUCCCAUUUAAUAACUCGAGGCUGUCACCCCUUUAAUCUCCAAUUUGUCAUUUUUUAGAAAAUUAAAAUGACAAGUCAGUUGAAUCCUUUAAGGGUUGUUUGGUUUGAAGUAUUCGGAAAUAUAAUCAUGGUAGAAUUUCUUGCAUUGUUUUAUCCCUUGUUUGGUCAUUAUUCUCAAUUUCUCAUAUCCUGUAUAGGCAAUCUUCGUAAAACUUGUACAGGAAUAUCAACCUAAUUCUUAUAAUACUAUAAGAAUAUGUACUAUAUGUUAGAUUCCUUUAAUUU